rnacentral:rRNA from 1 species
UAACACUAACUGGAGGACCGAACCGACUAAUGUUGAAAAAUUAGCGGAUGACUUGUGGCUGGGGGUGAAAGGCCAAUCAAACCGGGAGAUAGCUGGUUCUCCCCGAAAGCUAUUUAGGUAGCGCCUCGUGAAUUCAUCUCCGGGGGUAGAGCACUGUUUCGGCAAGGGGGUCAUCCCGACUUACCAACCCGAUGCAAACUGCGAAUACCGGAGAAUGUUAUCACGGGAGACACACGGCGGGUGCUAACGUCCGUCGUGAAGAGGGAAACAACCCAGACCGCCAGCUAAGGUCCCAAAGUCAUGGUUAAGUGGGAAACGAUGUGGGAAGGCCCAGACAGCCAGGAUGUUGGCUUAGAAGCAGCCAUCAUUUAAAGAAAGCGUAAUAGCUCACUGGUCGAGUCGGCCUGCGCGGAAGAUGUAACGGGGCUAAACCAUGCACCGAAGCUGCGGCAGCGACGCUUAUGCGUUGUUGGGUAGGGGAGCGUUCUGUAAGCCUGUGAAGGUGUGCUGUGAGGCAUGCUGGAGGUAUCAGAAGUGCGAAUGCUGACAUAAGUAACGAUAAAGCGGGUGAAAAGCCCGCUCGCCGGAAGACCAAGGGUUCCUGUCCAACGUUAAUCGGGGCAGGGUGAGUCGACCCCUAAGGCGAGGCCGAAAGGCGUAGUCGAUGGGAAACAGGUUAAUAUUCCUGUACUUGGUGUUACUGCGAAGGGGGGACGGAGAAGGCUAUGUUGGCCGGGCGACGGUUGUCCCGGUUUAAGCGUGUAGGCUGGUUUUCCAGGCAAAUCCGGAAAAUCAAGGCUGAGGCGUGAUGACGAGGCACUACGGUGCUGAAGCAACAAAUGCCCUGCUUCCAGGAAAAGCCUCUAAGCAUCAGGUAACAUCAAAUCGUACCCCAAACCGACACAGGUGGUCAGGUAGAGAAUACCAAGGCGCUUGAGAGAACUCGGGUGAAGGAACUAGGCAAAAUGGUGCCGUAACUUCGGGAGAAGGCACGCUGAUAUGUAGGUGAAGUCCCUCGCGGAUGGAGCUGAAAUCAGUCGAAGAUACCAGCUGGCUGCAACUGUUUAUUAAAAACACAGCACUGUGCAAACACGAAAGUGGACGUAUACGGUGUGACGCCUGCCCGGUGCCGGAAGGUUAAUUGAUGGGGUCAGCGCAAGCGAAGCUCUUGAUCGAAGCCCCGGUAAACGGCGGCCGUAACUAUAACGGUCCUAAGGUAGCGAAAUUCCUUGUCGGGUAAGUUCCGACCUGCACGAAUGGCGUAAUGAUGGCCAGGCUGUCUCCACCCGAGACUCAGUGAAAUUGAACUCGCUGUGAAGAUGCAGUGUACCCGCGGCAAGACGGAAAGACCCCGUGAACCUUUACUAUAGCUUGACACUGAACAUUGAGCCUUGAUGUGUAGGAUAGGUGGGAGGCUUAGAAGUGUGGACGCCAGUCUGCAUGGAGCCGACCUUGAAAUACCACCCUUUAAUGUUUGAUGUUCUAACGUUGACCCGUAAUCCGGGUUGCGGACAGUGUCUGGUGGGUAGUUUGACUGGGGCGGUCUCCUCCUAAAGAGUAACGGAGGAGCACGAAGGUUGGCUAAUCCUGGUCGGACAUCAGGAGGUUAGUGCAAUGGCAUAAGCCAGCUUGACUGCGAGCGUGACGGCGCGAGCAGGUGCGAAAGCAGGUCAUAGUGAUCCGGUGGUUCUGAAUGGAAGGGCCAUCGCUCAACGGAUAAAAGGUACUCCGGGGAUAACAGGCUGAUACCGCCCAAGAGUUCAUAUCGACGGCGGUGUUUGGCACCUCGAUGUCGGCUCAUCACAUCCUGGGGCUGAAGUAGGUCCCAAGGGUAUGGCUGUUCGCCAUUUAAAGUGGUACGCGAGCUGGGUUUAGAACGUCGUGAGACAGUUCGGUCCCUAUCUGCCGUGGGCGCUGGAGAACUGAGGGGGGCUGCUCCUAGUACGAGAGGACCGGAGUGGACGCAUCACUGGUGUUCGGGUUGUCAUGCCAAUGGCACUGCCCGGUAGCUAAAUGCGGAAGAGAUAAGUGCUGAAAGCAUCUAAGCACGAAACUUGCC